GAAUCGUGGUCUAGAUGUCAUAUAUGGCUUAUGUGGACAUUAUUGAGUACUUUCUUAGCUAUAAGUAAUCUUAAAUUCAUGUUUAUUUCAAUAGAUUAGCAGUUGGUUCAGUAUUUUACAAUAUUUAAAUCUCAAGGGUGUCCUUGUAAUUUCCAGCCUUGAUGGAAAGGCUGGCUGGAUUCUAUAGGAGUCCUCAUUUUACAUUCCACAC
rnacentral:misc_RNA from 1 species